rnacentral:lncRNA from 1 species
GAGAUGAGGGGAGGAGAGGCAGGUAGGAAGGAAGGCACAGGCUUAGAGAAGCUUCUCUCUGCUUCCCUCCAGGUUGGGACUUUCGAGAGUAGCGCACCCCACCUGAAAACCUGACAGCAGGUGUGUGGACAGUGAGGUCUGCCCUCUCUCUGUUCCACAGGUGGGAGAAUUAAACAUCACAAUGCCCAGUGCCUGCUAGAUGAGAACUGAUUCCAGCAAUGCCGGUCACGCUCUGCUUACGCCUACAUCUGCACAGUUCUAGGUGGCUGUUCCAUCCCCUCCCCACCCUGGAGUACCCAUGGUGAACCUCAGAUCCUAAGCGUGACCGUGGUGUUUGGGUGCCAUUUCCAGGCUGCUGCUUGGAAGGUCCUUUUUGAAGGGGGAAGGUACUGGAUGGUCUUGAAUUCAUUUUGGAUAUUACAGGGUCCCCUCCCCCCUUCCUCUUGGGGAAGUUGGUCCAGUAGGUCACGAUGUCCUGCAGCUAUGGAGCGUGAGAAAUAGAUGAUAUUGCCGACUGCCAUUGUAAGACCCCCAAAGCUGGGCCUCUGCUCAAGUCCUGGGAUGAGCUGGCCAGCACCCCAAUGACUCGAGAGAAAACCACACCUGAUGCAAACUGCAAGAGGUUUUAUUAUCAGCUAGCUGAGGACGAACUCCUUGUGCUUCGCAGGGCAGGGGAGUUCGACCCCGAGCAGUAACAGUAGGGGGCUUUCAACAGCUAGCUGAGGAAUUGGGAGGAGUUGGGCUACAGCUCUUCUCUGCCAGGUAUCCUUGGUAAAAUUACAAUUAUCGCAUCUCUGGUUGUAAAGUAUAGAAACAAAAAGGCUUUUUGCUGGCUAUAGAGAACAAAGAGCUUCUUUCUGGCUGUAUUUUUAGAGAUCUGGGAAAACAAGCUUGGGGAAUGUCCAGGGGCUUUACCUUCCAGGGAGAAACGCUCUAAGUUGGGGUCUCACACCAUCAGCAGUAGUUGAUAUUGGGUACCAUCAGUGACCACUUUAAGCCAGGAGCCAUCAACUCUGGCUUUUAUUGCUUGUUACCAUCAGCAGAGGCUGAUAUUAGGUGCCAUCAGUGACUAGCUGUUCUGUUGGGCGUUAACAGCACCCAUCUCAGGUCAGAAGCCAUCAGUUCUGGGUUGUGUGCAUUUCAUGUGUGUCUCUCAGGAUGGGACAAAGUAAAUCUACAGACAGAGAGUUACUUACAGAUGUUAUUAAGCAUACUGUUAAAGAAAAAGGCAUUGAAGUUAACACUAGCCAGCUGACUGACUUCAGUUUGUACAAACUUAGUCCAGCUAGUCCUUGUUUUCCAGGAAAAAGAACUCCAGAGGUAGAUAGGUAGAUACAUGAGAGAAAGGAUUAGAUAUUUAAAACUGGUUUUCAGAGACUGGAGGCGUGCCCCUUACAGCGUUUGCUAUUUGGAAUGUGCUUAGGACGGCAUUGGCAGACGGCAAAAAAGCCAUAUGUGCUCAGGAGACAGUAGGUUUACCUCCUUGUGAGGGUACUCCAUCACUACAGUCUCCCUCAGGAUCUAAGGACAAUGUUUAUUUCUCAACAGAAAAGUCUGAGAAAAGUAGCUCAGGAGAGGUUAGUUAUGAAUCAGAAGAGGAGAAAUCAACCUUAGAGGAGGAGUCUGACUCAGAAAAGAUGAUCAGUGAUGGGCCCAACUUGGGGUCCACCUCAUGAGCAGGUACCAAACACUGACACUAUUACUGAUGUUGUGCUCUCAGACAGGAGCCUAGCAUGGCUGGCAUCUGGGUUUUUGGAGGUUGCAAUAUAUCUGUCUAAGCCCUUCUAGCUUUUACAGUCUCUGUUGAGACGUCAGGUGCAACUCUGAUAGGUCUGCCUUUGUAUGUUACCUGGCCCCCUUUACUUACUGCUUUUAAUAUUGUUUCUUUGUUCUGUAGAUUUUUGUGUUUUGAUUAUUAUGUGACAGGAGGAUUUUUUUCUGGUCCAGCCUAAUUGGUGUUCUCUAAGAUUCUUGUAUAGGUCUAUAGAAAUCUCUUUAGGUUGGGACCUUUCUUCCUUCCUUUCUUUCUUUCUUUCUUUCUUUCUUUCUUUUUUCUGUGAUUUAGUUGAAAAUAUUUUCUGGGCCUUGGAGCUCUGACUCUACCUUCUUCUAUUUCAAUUAUUUUUAUGUUAGGACUUGUCACGGUAUCCCAGGUUUCCUGGAUGUUUUGUGUCAGAAUGUUUUAGAUUUAACAUUAUUUUCUCACUGAUGUAUCAGUUUGUCCUGUUAUAUCUUGCAUGCCUGAGAUUCUCCCAUCUCCUGAGUUACGUUGGUGAUGCUUGUAUUUGUUGUUCUUUUCCCUAGAUUUUCCAUCUCUAGGAUUUCCUCUUUAUUGCUUCUCUUUUCACUUUCAGGUCUUGCACAGUUUUAUGAAGGAAAUACUUCACCUGUUUAAUUGUAUUUUCCUGUAUGUCUUUAAGGGAUUCAUUUGUUUCCACUUUAAAGACCUCUACCUGUUUGAUUGUAUUUUCUUGUAUUUCUUUAAGGGAUUUGUUCAUUUGCUCUUUAAAGGCCUCUGUCAUCUUUAUAAGAUUGGAUUUAAGGUCAUUUUCUUGUGCUUGAGUUGUGUUAGGAUAUCCAGGGCUUGCUGUAGGAGGGCAUGUGUGCUCUGAAAGUGUCAUAUUACCCUGGCUUUUGUUGAUUUUUUUUUGAGGGCCUUUAGCCAUCUGGAUGGCUUUGGUCCCUGGAUGCUCCUGUUGUAAUAGAUAUUGGGAGGGAGGUUAACCUUGAUGCUGCUGAUUUGCCAGGCCUCUAAUGGGUAUCCGUGGGUUGUAUGGUUCCAUAUCUGCAGGUCUGUUUGGUUCAGGAUCUGUAGAUCCCACAAAGGUGGGCAGAGGUGGAUGGAGAGUGGAGGUCCUCCUGUGCCAUCAGGCUGCUCAGGGCAGCUCGGCUGGCUCCAGAGGUCUCAGCAAGCAGGGAAGAAAAGUCUGGGAAGGGAAGCUUCCCUGUAUGGCUUAGGAUCCACAGGUCUGAUGAAGGUGGGCGGAGAGGAGGGUGGAGAAUGGAGGCCCUCCUGGGCUAGCAGGCUGCUCAGGGCAACUCGGCGGGCUCCAGAGCAGGUUAAUAUUUCUUGUUUGCUGUCUCUGAUAUGUAACUGCUUUCUCACUUACAGUUACUCUUUUUCUUUUCUCUUUCUUUUUCUUUUUCUUUUUCAACAUUUACUAUCAGUAUCCAAAUUUAAUUAUUAUCAAAUGAAUGGUGUCUUGCCUUCAAGGACCAUCAGAGGCUUAUAUUCUUAGCUGCUUGCCUUCAAACUCUACUUGAACCUGCCCAGCUCCAUCUCUGAAACCUUUUACAAUUAGCAUUAAGCUGGGCUGUCCUAAACAUCUUUUAAUGAAAAGGAAAAGUUAUUUUCAUACAAUUUAUUUUGACCAUGCUUUCCCUUCUCCCAAUCCCCCCAGAUCCUCCCCACUUACCCACUCACUAGCAUCCUGCCCUUUCUUUAUCUU